UAUACCGUGAACUGCGAAUGGCUCAUUAAAUCAGUUAUCGUUUAUUUGAUAGUACCUUACUACUUGGAUAACCGUGGUAAUUCUAGAGCUAAUACAUGCGAAAACCCCGACUUCGGAAGGGGUGUAUUUAUUAGAUAAAAAACCAAUGCCCUUCGGGGCUCCUUGGUGAUUCAUAAUAACUUCUCAGAUCGCAUGGCCUUGCGCCGGCGACGGUUCAUUCAAAUUUCUGCCCUAUCAACUUUCGAUGGUAAGGUAUUGGCUUACCAUGGUUUCAACGGGUAACGGGGAAUUAGGGUUCGAUUCCGGAGAGGGAGCCUGAGAAACGGCUACCACAUCCAAGGAAGGCAGCAGGCGCGCAAAUUACCCAAUCCCGACACGGGGAGGUAGUGACAAUAAAUACUGAUACAGGGCUCUUUUGGGUCUUGUAAUUGGAAUGAGUACAAUUUAAACCUCUUAACGAGGAACAAUUGGAGGGCAAGUCUGGUGCCAGCAGCCGCGGUAAUUCCAGCUCCAAUAGCGUAUAUUAAAGUUGUUGCAGUUAAAAAGCUCGUAGUUGAACCUUUGGCCUGGCUGGCAGGUCCGCCUCACCGCGUGCACUUGUCCGGCCGGGCCUUCUCUUCUGGAGAACCGCAUGCCCUUCACUGGGUGUGUUGGGGACCAGGACUUUUACUUUGAAAAAAUUAGAGUGUUCAAAGCAGGCCUUUGCUCGAAUACGUUAGCAUGGAAUAAUAGAAUAGGACGUGCGGUCCUAUUUUGUUGGUUUCUAGGACCGCCGUAAUGAUUAAUAGGGACAGUCGGGGGCAUCAGUAUUCAAUUGUCAGAGGUGAAAUUCUUGGAUUUAUUGAAGACUAACUACUGCGAAAGCAUUUGCCAAGGAUGUUUUCAUUAAUCAGUGAACGAAAGUUAGGGGAUCGAAGACGAUCAGAUACCGUCGUAGUCUUAACCAUAAACUAUGCCGACUAGGGAUCGGGCGGUGUUAUUAUUUUGACUCGCUCGGCACCUUACGAGAAAUCAAAGUGUUUGGUCUUGGGGGGAAUAUGG
rnacentral:rRNA from 1 species